GGUCUCGUAGCUCAGUUGGCUAGAGCGUUAGCUGUACUAAAGACUUCCCUUGCUGGCAUGGGUUCAAAGCCCACCAAGGCCA
rnacentral:tRNA from 1 species